rnacentral:miRNA from 1 species
CAGGAGACAUGACAAAAAACU